UACGAAGGGGGCUAGCGUUGUUCGGAAUCACUGGGCGUAAAGCGCACGUAGGCGGAUCUUUAAGUCAGAGGUGAAAUCCCAAGGCUCAACCUUGGAACUGCCUUUGAUACUGGGGAUCUUGAGUCCGGGAGAGGUGAGUGGAACUGCGAGUGUAGAGGUGAAAUUCGUAGAUAUUCGGAAGAACACCAGUGGCGAAGGCGGCUGACUGGACAUGUAUUGACGCUGAGGUGCGAAAGCGUGGGGAGCAAACAGG
rnacentral:rRNA from 1 species